rnacentral:rRNA from 1 species
AUCAGUGGCGUACGGGUGAGUAACACGUGAGUAAUCUGCCCCAGACUCUGGGAUAAGCACUGGAAACGGUGUCUAAUACCGGAUACGAGCUUCAGCCGCAUGGCUAGGAGUUGGAAAGAAUUUCGGUCUGGGAUGGACUCGCGGCCUAUCAGCUAGUUGGUGAGGUAAUGGCUCACCAAGGCGACGACGGGUAGCCGGCCUGAGAGGGUGACCGGCCACACUGGGACUGAGACACGGCCCAGACUCCUACGGGAGGCAGCAGUGGGGAAUAUUGGACAAUGGGCGCAAGCCUGAUCCAGCCAUGCCGCGUGAGUGAUGAAGGCCUUAGGGUUGUAAAGCUCUUUCGCCGGUGAAGAUAAUGACGGUAACCGGAGAAGAAGCCCCGGCUAACUUCGUGCCAGCAGCCGCGGUAAUACGAAGGGGGCUAGCGUUGCUCGGAAUCACUGGGCGUAAAGCGCACGUAGGCGG